UACGUAGGGUGCGAGCGUUAAUCGGAAUUACUGGGCGUAAAGUGUGCGCAGGUGGCCGCGCAAGUCGAGUGUGAAAUCCCCGAGCUUAACUUGGGAACUGCGCUCGAAACUACUUGGCUGGAGUGUGGCAGAGGAAGGUGGAAUUCCACGUGUAGCGGUGAAAUGCGUAGAGAUGUGGAGGAACACCGAUGGCGAAGGCAGCCUUCUGGGCCAACACUGGACGCUCAUGCACGAAAGCGUGGGGGAGCAAACAGG
rnacentral:rRNA from 1 species